rnacentral:rRNA from 1 species
GACGUAGGGCGCGAGCGUUGUCCGGAUUUAUUGGGCGUAAAGAGCUCGUAGGCGGCUUGUUGCGUCAGCUGUGAAAACCGCAGCUCAACUGUGGGCUUGCAGCUGAUACGGGCAGGCUUGAGUUCGGUAGGGGAGGACUGGAAUUCCUGGUGUAGCGGUGGAAGUGCGCAGAUAUCAGGAAGAACACCCGUGGCUAAGGCGGUUCUCUAGUACGGUACUGACGCUGAGACGCGAAAGCGUGGGGAGCGAACAGG